rnacentral:tRNA from 1 species
GGAGGCGUCGCAUAGUUGGUUGAGUGCACCGGUUUCGAAAACCGGAGUCUGCGCAAGUGGAUCGAAGGUUCGAAUCCUUCCGCCUCCG